AUUGAACGCUGGCGGCAGGCCUAACACAUGCAAGUCGAGCGAGCGGCGGACGGGUGAGUAAUGUCUGGGAAACCGCCUGACGGAGGGGGAUAACUACUGGAAACGGUAGCUAAUACCGCAUACCAUCAGAUGGGCCCAGAUGGGAUUAGCUAGUAGGUGGGGUAACGGCUCUCCUAGGCGACGAUCCCUAGCUGGUCUGAGAGGAUGACCAGCCACACUGGCGCUGAAGCACGGCCCAGACUCCGACGGAAGGCAGCAUGGGGGAAUAUUGCACAAUGGGCGAAAGCCUGAUGCAGCCAUGCCGCGUGUGUGAAUAAGGCCUUCGGGUUGUAAAGCACUAUCAGCGGGGAGGCGUUACCCGCAGAAGAAGCACCGGCUAACUCCGUGCCAGCAGCCGCGGUAAUAC
rnacentral:rRNA from 1 species